rnacentral:rRNA from 1 species
GAUGAACGCUGGCGGCGUGCCUAAUACAUGCAAGUCGAGCGAACGGACGAGAAGCUUGCUUUUCUGAUGUUAGCGGCGGACGGGUGAGUAACACGUGGAUAACCUACCUAUAAGACUGGGAUAACUUCAGGAAACCGGAGCUAAUACCGGAUAAUAUUUUGAACCGCAUGGGUCAAAAGUGAAAGACGGUCUUGCUGUCACUUAUAGAUGGAUCCGCGCUGCAUUAGCUAGUUGGUAAGGUAACGGCUUACCAAGGCAACGAUGCAUAGCCGACCUGAGAGGGUGAUCGGCCACACUGGAACUGAGACACGGUCCAGACUCCUACGGGAGGCAGCAGUAGGGAAUCUUCCGCAAUGGGCGAAAGCCUGACGGAGCAACGCCGCGUGAGUGAUGAAGGUCUUCGGAUCGUAAAACUCUGUUAUUAGGGAAGAACAUAUGUGUAAGUAACUGUGCACAUAUUGACGGUACCUAAUCAGAAAGCCACGGCUAACUACGUG